rnacentral:rRNA from 1 species
GACGAACGCUGGCGGCGUGCUUAACACAUGCAAGUCGAACGGAAAGGCCUCUUUCGGGGGGUACUCGAGUGGCGAACGGGUGAGUAACACAUGAGUAACCUACCCUUGACUUUGGGAUAACUUCAGGCGACAGGGGCUAAUACCGGAUAGGAGCUCCUUCUGCAUGGAGGGGGUUGGAAAGUUUCGGCGGUUGGGUGUGGACUCGCGGCUUAUCCGCUUGUUGGUGGGGUGGUGGCUUACCAAGGCUUUGACGUGUAGCCGGCCUGAGAGGGUGACCGGCCACAUUGGGACUGAGAUACGGCCCAGACUCCUACGGGAGGCAGCAGUGGGGAAUAUUGCACAAGGGGUGGAAGCCUGAUGCAGCAAGGCCGUGUGCGGGAUGACGGCCUUAGGGUUGUAAACCGCUUUCGCUCAUGACGAAGCUUUGUGUGACGGUAGUGGGUAAAGAAGCACCGGCUAACUACGUG